rnacentral:rRNA from 1 species
UACGAAGGGGGCGAGCGUUGUUCGGAAUUACUGGGCGUAAAGGGCGCGCAGGCGGUCCUUCAAGUCAGAUGUGAAAGCCCCGGGCUCAACCUGGGAACUGCAUUUGAGACUGGAGGACUUGAGGACGGGAGAGGAGAGUGGAAUUCCCAGUGUAGGAAGUGAAUUCGUAGAUAGUCGGGAGGAACACCAGUGGCGAAGGCGGCGACCUGGACGGACACUGACGCUGAGACGCGAAAGCGUGGGGAGCAAACAGG